UAAGACGAACCGAGCGAACGUUGUUCGGAAUCACUGGGCUUAAAGGGCGCGUAGGCGGGCGAUCAAGUCAGGGGUGAAAGCCCCCAGCUCAACUGGGGAAGUGCCUCUGAUACUGAUCGUCUCGAGGGGGAUAGGGGCGUGCGGAACUUCCGGUGGAGCGGUGAAAUGCGUAGAUAUCGGAAGGAACACCGGUGGCGAAAGCGGCGCGCUGGAUCCCUUCUGACGCUGAGGCGCGAAAGCCAGGGGAGCAAACGGGAUUAGAUACCCCGGUAGUCCUGGCCCUAAACGUUGGGUACUAGGUUGUGGACUUACAUGGGUUCACAGCCGAAGCAAAAGUGUUAAGUACCCCGCCUGGGGAGUAUGGUCGCAAGGCUG
rnacentral:rRNA from 1 species